rnacentral:tRNA from 1 species
GCAUCUCCCUUACACUGAGAAGUCACCCGUGCAAUUCGGGUCGCCCUGA